GCCUGCCAGGGAUAGAUGGCUAUUGCUCAUUCCAGCGGCCUGAAGUAACUAUUUGAAAUGGUCUCCAUGGAGUCCUGAAGUUCAUGAAAAGAGGAGCCUUCUAGUAAGGAACAAAAACACAUUAAUUAUUCUGGACACACACCACUGAGCCUCCUCCUGGAAGUCAGAGCAAGCCGGUCCAAAGAGAUCUACCACCAUGGAAGAGAACGAAAGCCUCAAAGGAAUGCCAGGGUUUUGUUCUUGGGGUUGUAGAAGCGACAUCAAGCCUGCCUGGUGUGUAGGUCCAGUCACCGGUCUCUUUGGCCAUUGUCUGCUGUCCCCCUUGAUGGCGCUUGCUUUGUAAUAAAUUCUGUCUUCUGCCUGGC